UACGGAGGGUGCGAGCGUUGUCCGGAAUCAUUGGGCGUAAAGGGCGCGUAGGUGGCCUGCUAAGCGUGCGGUGAAAGUCGGGGGCUCAACCCCCGAUCGGCCGUGCGAACUGGGAGGCUUGAGCACUGUAGAGGCAGGCGGAAUUCCGGGUGUAGCGGUGGAAUGCGUAGAGAUCCGGAAGAACACCGGUGGCGAAGGCGGCCUGCUGGGCAGUUGCUGACACUGAGGCGCGACAGCGUGGGGAGCAAACAGG
rnacentral:rRNA from 1 species